rnacentral:rRNA from 1 species
ACGAACGCUGGCGGCGUGCUUAACACCUGCAAGUCGAACGGAAAGGCCCUGCUUUUGUGGGGUGCUCGAGUGGCGAACGGGUGAGUAACACGUGAGUAACCUGCCCUUGACUUUGGGAUAACUUCAGGAAACUGGGGCUAAUACCGGAUAGGAGCUCCUGCUGCAUGGUGGGGGUUGGAAAGUUUCGGCGGUUGGGGAUGGACUCGCGGCUUAUCAGCUUGUUGGUGGGGUAGUGGCUUACCAAGGCUUUGACGGGUAGCCGGCCUGAGAGGGUGACCGGCCACAUUGGGUCUGAGAUACGGCCCAGACUCCUACGGGAGGCAGCAGUGGGGAAUAUUGCACAAUGGGCGGAAGCCUGAUGCAGCAACGCCGCGUGCGGGAUGACGGCCUUCGGGUUGUAAACCGCUUUCGCCUGUGACGAAGCGUGAGUGACGGUAAUGGGUAAAGAAGCACCGGCUAACUACGUG